rnacentral:lncRNA from 1 species
AUGGGUCGAUGGAUAGCCAACAAAGGUCGGGGUGAAGGCUAACAAGAUCGAUGGUCAUCCAUUCGGUUCAGGGUCCAUAAUUGGGUCAAUUUAGAUCCAUGGAGAAGGAGAUCUAGGACCAUCUUCUUUGGGUCUAUCAAGCCAUGAGAUACGGAAAAAUUGGAGGAAGAGAAAUAGAGAGAACAUAGAGAGGUCCUUAGAUGCUUGAACUAGGGU